GGAAGGUUGGCGGCGGGCGCAGCGCUCGCCAACCGGGUCAGGUCCGAAAGGAAGCAGCCCUAACGAGACCGAUGUGGGUCGUCGUCCAACCUUCCACC
rnacentral:SRP_RNA from 1 species